CUGAAGUCAGCCACAGACUUCAAUGCAUGUGUCAGUCAGAGAAGCAGCUACUAUGAGAAGUAAGAGAGCACAGAGUUUGUUUUUUUCCCUCUAUUGCUAUAUCACAAAUUACAGUUUAGUUUAAACAACAAAAAUCAUUCACUGUCUUUUCACAGUUUCUGAGGGUUAGAAUUCAAAAAAAGGCACAGAAGGGAUAAUUUAUGCUCCUGUUGUCUGGAGCCCUAGCUGGAAUCUAACACUUGAGGCUAGAAGUUGUAAUCGUCUGAAGGCUCCUGUAUUUACAUGCCUGGUAACUGAUGUUAGCUGUGAGCUGAAGGCAUAGAUGGACCGUCACUUUGAAGAUUUAUAUGUGACCUUUGUGUGUGCCCUGGAUUUCCUUAUAACCUCAUGGCUAAGUUCUAUGAACUAGACAAGCAUCAAGAGAGACAGACAGACAGACAGAACCUGAAAGAACCCACUUUGCUUUAUGAACUAGCCACUAGAUGUCACAUGAUUUCAUUUCCAACACAAUUGGUCAAGACAAUUUCAAAGGUCCACUUACUUCAAGAAGAGGGAACAUUAUGAGAUCCCCACAUGUGAUGGAAUAUAUCACUGUGAGGCCAUCUUUGAAAUACAAUAUGAUACAAGGCCAGAAUACACAAAUCCCUGGAACUGUUACUUCUCCUUUCUUCCAUGAAGUUGUAAAAGCUACACUCUUCUUUCCAGGAGCCAUCUUAUUGGAGGUACCAGAGUGGUUAAGGGUUCCAUGGAGCAGAUGCCUUGCUUCUCACCAAACCAGCCCAGCAAUAGCAGGAACUUUGAUAAAUCAUCAAUCUGCUCCCAUCUGCCUAUCAUCAUCAUACAUUGGAAUAAAAGAAUUACAGAAGUCUCCUAGUUUUAUCUGAAUUUAGAAUUGAUAUUUCUGUUCUCCUUGAUGCUUUGGAAUAAUUUUUUAAAGGAGAAAGGGAAAGAUAUAUUGACUCUACUUUUUUGAAAUUG
rnacentral:lncRNA from 1 species